rnacentral:rRNA from 1 species
AUUGAACGCUGGCGGCAGGCCUAACACAUGCAAGUCGAACGAGUGGCGGACGGGUGAGUAAUGUCUGGGCAACUGCCCGAUGGAGGGGGAUCACUACUGGAAACGGUAGGUAAUACCGCAUACCAUCGGAUGUGCCCAGAUGGGAUUAGCUAGUAGGGGGGGUAACGGCUCACCUAGGCGACGAUCCCUAGCUGGUCUGAGAGGAUGACCAGCAAAACUGGAAUGGGGACACGGGCCAGACUCCUACGGGAGGCAGCAGGGGGGAAUAUUGCACAAUGGGCGCAAGCCUGAUGCAGCCAUGCAGCGUGUAUGAAGAAGGCCUUCGGUUUGUAAAGUACUUUCAGCGAGGAGGCGGUACUCGCAGAAGAAGCACCGGCUAACUCCGUGCCAGCAGCCGCGGUAAUAC